AGCUGUUUUGGGACUACAGUUCCCAUCACCCCUGACCACUGGUCCUUUUAGCUAGGGAUGAUGGGAGUUGUAGUCCCAAAACAGCU
rnacentral:miRNA from 1 species